GUAGGUGAACCUGCGGAAGGAUCAUUAUUGAAAUAAACCUGAUGGGUUGUUGCUGGUUCUCUAGAGAGCAUGUGCACGCCUUGUCAUCUUUAUAUCUCCACCUGUGCACUCUUUGUAGACCUUUCAGGUCUAUGUUGCCUCUUCAUUUACCCCAAUGUAUGUUAAUAGAAUGUCGUGCCUAUGAAAAAUCUAUACAACUUUCAGCAACGGAUCUCUUGGCUCUC
rnacentral:misc_RNA from 1 species